UACAGAGGUCUCAAGCGUUGUUCGGAUUCAUUGGGCGUAAAGGGUGCGUAGGUGGCGAGGCAAGUCUGGUGUGAAAUCCCGGGGCUCAACCCCGGAACUGCACUGGAUACUGCCUUGCUUGAGCACUGGAGAGGGAACUGGAAUUUACGGUGUAGCGGUGAAAUGCGUAGAUAUCGGGAGGAACACCUGCGGCGAAGGCGGGUUGCUGGGCUGGCACUGACGCUGAGGCGCGAAGGCCAGGGGAGCGAACGGG
rnacentral:rRNA from 1 species